GUGAAUUGAGUUCCAUGUUCUUUAGUUGUCACUUGAAUGUCACAUUGUCCUUUGGUUGUUACAAGUUUUAGUUAUUAACAUGGAUGGUCCAUCUUCAUUGUAUCAAAAACAUACUGCAAAGGUAUUAACAUCAUUCAAAAUAAUCAAAAGUUCAUCCAAUUGGGAUUUUCCUUCCACCGAUAAUAGCCCUAUCUCAAGUUCUAACUACGAUUGCCA
rnacentral:lncRNA from 1 species